CCUUAGAGUUUGAUCCUGGCUCAGGACGAACGCUGGCGGCGCGCCUAACACAUGCAAGUCGAACGAGAAAUGAGGAGCUUGCUCCUCAAAUCGAGUGGCGAACGGGUGAGUAACGCGUGAGGAACCUGCCUCAAAGAGGGGGACAACAGUUGGAAACGACUGCUAAUACCGCAUAAGCCCACGGCUCGGCAUCGAGCAGAGGGAAAAGGAGCAAUCCGCUUUGAGAUGGCCUCGCGUCCGAUUAGCUAGUUGGUGAGGUAACGGCCCACCAAGGCGACGAUCGGUAGCCGGACUGAGAGGUUGAACGGCCACAUUGGGACUGAGACACGGCCCAGACUCCUACGGGAGGCAGCAGUGGGGAAUAUUGCACAAUGGGGGAAACCCUGAUGCAGCGACGCCGCGUGGAGGAAGAAGGUCUUCGGAUUGUAAACUCCUGUUGUUGAGGAAGAUAAUGACGGUACUCAACAAGGAAGUGACGGCUAACUACGUGCCAGCAGCCGCGGUAAAACGUAGGUCACAAGCGUUGUCCGGAAUUACUGGGUGUAAAGGGAGCGCAGGCGGGAGAACAAGUUGGAAGUGAAAUCCAUGGGCUCAACCCAUGAACUGCUUUCAAAACUGUUUUUCUUGAGUAGUGCAGAGGUAGGCGGAAUUCCCGGUGUAGCGGUGGAAUGCGUAGAUAUCGGGAGGAACACCAGUGGCGAAGGCGGCCUACUGGGCACCAACUGACGCUGAGGCUCGAAAGUGUGGGUAGCAAACAGGAUUAGAUACCCUGGUAGUCCACACCGUAAACGAUGAUUACUAGGUGUUGGAGGAUUGACCCCUUCAGUGCCGCAGUUAACACAAUAAGUAAUCCACCUGGGGAGUACGACCGCAAGGUUGAAA
rnacentral:rRNA from 1 species